rnacentral:misc_RNA from 1 species
AUUAAAAAUAAUAAAGAAAAUGUAUUGAUGAGGAGGAAAAUGUGGAUGUGGAUAUGGAUGAAAGUGAGGAAGAGGAUGAGGAGGAUGUGGUAUGUAAAAUGAAAUAGUAGAGAAAAAAAGAAAUGAGAAAAUAAUUGAAGGAGUUGAAAAUAAUAAGAAGUUAUAUGAGGGUUAUGAGAUGAAAUUUGGUGAUGAGAGUGGGAAUGGAUGAAAGUGUGGAUAAAAAU